rnacentral:lncRNA from 1 species
GCCCCACCUACGAUAGUAGAGGGGCAUUAUGUUUUCUGGUCAGUGCCUCCGUUCGUCCGUCCGUCUGUGCCUCCGUUCGUUCGUUUGUCCGGUUAAAGUUUUUGGUCAAGGUAGUUUUUGAAGAAGUUGAAGUCCAAUCAACUUGAAACUUAGUACACAUUUUCCCCAUGAUAUGAUCUUUCUAAUUUUAAUGCCAAAUUAUAGUUUUGACCCCAAUUUCAUGGUCCACUGAACAUAGAAAAUGAUAGUGCGAAGUUCAGGUUAAAGUUUUUGGUCAAGGUAGUUUUUGCUGAAGUUGAAGUCCAAUCAACUUGAAACUUAGUACACAUGUUCCCCAUGAUAUGAUCUUUCUAAUUUUAAUGCCAAAUUAUAGUUUUGACCCCAAUUUCAUGGUCAACUGAACAUAGAAAAUAAUAAUGCGAAAUUCAGGUUAAAGUUUUUGGUCAAGGUAGUUUUUGAUGAAGUUAAAGUUACAUCAACUUGAAACUUAGUACACAUGUUCCCUAUGAUAUGAUCUUUCUAAUUAUAAUUCCAAAUUAAAGUUUUGACCCCAAUUUCACGGUCCACUGAACAUAGAAAAUGAUAGUGCGAGUGGGGCAUCCGUGUACUAUGGACACAUUCUUGUUUUAUUUCAAAAUGCCAACAU